CUUAUCCUUUCCAUGCAGGCUCGUUUGCUUCUUUCCAAUCCUUCAUUUUUAAUCAGAGGAGAGUGAGGCGAGCUGGCCGGGCUGCUCUUCGUCGGGGACGUUACCGUUUACUUGCCCGCGCCAACGGCCAGCUACUCGCCGGGAUUCGCCGGGGUCGCCGUCUUCUCCGUGCGCCACGCUGACAGGAAGCUGGUCGCCGAGUUCCCGGGGAUUCGCCGCGCACCCAGGUACUCCGCCGCCUCCCCAGUAGCUGUCCGAGCGGCGGACCGCGACGCGCACGCGAGUGUCCAAUGGCUCCGGUGGUCCGAUGAGCGUGGCUGCCGGCCAUGGCCGUGGUCGUGUGCCACUGCCUCUCCCGCUGGAAGCACGGAGGCUCGCGGCCAAGAUCCGGGGAGAAGGAGCUCCGUGACGGCGAGCUCCUCUAGGAGCAAGGCGACCACGUACUCCAAGAGCACGACGACGACAAGCUUUGAGGCUCCUUAUGGCAACCUUAACGAGGAGGAGGGUGGCAGCUGGAUGAGGAUUAAAAUCACGCUGGAGUCACCGUGCUGUCCUCUGACUACACAGCCGGCGCCCCAUGAUCUUCAGGACGGCGGCGGCGCGGCGGCUGGACCUCCCUACCAGCCUGCCCGGCCAAACUCCACAAGCUGCAGCUCACGGUCACGGAUCCAAUCCAGGAAACGUCCUGCCAGCUAGUGCCAUGGUUCCCCCACGGAAUGAGCAGGGAGUUCUAGCGACGCAUUAUACAAGGAGCUAUGGCAUGUUUGGGCUAGGCCGUUGAUCACAGUGCCUCGCCAAGGUGAAAGGAUUUACUACUUUCCGCAUGUUUAUAUUGGAACAGGUAUGUCUCACCGCAUUGGUGUUUGCUCUUCUUGAUGCCCUAUAACCAAUGAAUGAAUUUGCUACUCAACACAAACAGUAGCUAUUUGUGUUAUGGGACAUUGCUUUGUUCUUGUGUUAUAAAUGACAAUAUGACUUUGUUUAUGCGGAAUAAUCAUCCAGGUAUUUAAAGUUCAUCCACGUACAUAUUUAGAACCUGAUAUUCUCUAGUGUGGUCAUGUAUUAGUUGAAAAAUGAAUAUCCAUCAUAGGGUACCACCUUACAUACAGUGCUUCCAGCCUUACAGGCCUCACCAGAAGGCCCUUUGCCAAGCUUCACUGUGACGACUAACUUACUACUUGACAAACAUCUUUGCUAACUGAUAAAAGCAACAACAUAGGUAAAUAAACUCAUUUUCACAUGUUAUGACAAAAUGGUUUCUUCCAGCUCACAAAAAAACAAAGAAAACAUAGUACUAAUACAUAGAGAGACUGUAUAAUUGUUAAGGCUACUUUAGGAAUUAAUUUGGGAAUAGACUGAACAUAUCAGGAUAUACACGAGUUGACUGCAAAGAAAAGAAAUCAUCAUCUACUAAUACUGUACUAAAUGAACAUUAUCCAUUCACAUCUCCAGUAUUGUACUAUUAUACAUGACAGAGAAUGACUAACAUUACUCGUUCUUCUCUUAAAGCUGUCAAGAAAAUACAGUCAGUAGAAAAGUUAGAAGGAUAUUGAGCACUAAACUCCAGUUAUCAAUACACCGGACUGUCUACUGAUCUCCAACCGGUUAAUUUAAGAAUCAUCACAUUUACCAAUAAGGGGGCAAUUGUCUGUAAGAUGUGAUUUGCUUGCAUGCAUUUCAUAGAUAAAUAUGUGCAUAAAAGUUAGGACUUGCCUACAUACCUGGAUAUUUACAUUCACAUAGAGACAAUAUAUCUUCAAUUCACAUGUAGGACACAAGAAUGUAUAGUCACAAACUCACAAUUCCAUGGCAGCAAAAAUCUUCAAUAAUCUGUGAACUCCAUAAACAACGAUAUUAUAGAUCUCUUGUUUUGUUGAUAUAUUGACAUAUAGAAGAAGGAGAUGUAGUCUACAGGAGAGAAGCAACCAUCAAUGGUGUUAAUGUUACCUCUCCAUAGUACCAUCGGUCCAAAGGCACUCAAGUAAAAAUCAAAACACAAAAACGACAAAUGGCACUGGGAGUUUGGAGCCCGCCCAUCUGAUUUAGAUGAUCUGGGAAAGAGCAAUGAUUUUGCCCUCUUGUGGAUUUAAAAUACAAUUAGAAAAGUUCACUGAACUGAUGAAUGGGUGUUUUAAGCUCACCCAACUUCCUUAGUUUUGAAAAUGAACAAAUCCAUCUCAAAACAUGAUUUAAUACAUCAUAUUUAUGCAGGCAUUGCCAAUUCAAUUUUCUGGUACGCAUUUGUUUAAAAAUAGGAAUAUAUAUAUAUAGGAAAAUGGGUUAGUACUCUCAGGAGUAUGUACUCCCAUGCCACAUGUCGCUCAUUGCUUCAAUGCCUAUUUUUAAAUUGCUUUAUCAUUUAAUUAAAGAGAUAACAACCAGAUAAUAUCCACACACACGCACUGUUUUAAAAUUUGUUAGCCCGUCCAGGUUAAUAGGGACUCUGGUAGCUCACAGAUCGCGUGCAUAGUAGAUGCCCUCAACGACAACUCUGUUUGACAUCACAUCCUCGUGUAACAAACAAACGGAGACGGCACCGGCCAUGGCCAUGGCGACGGCGACGGGAACGGCGGCGAUCACGGUUGGGGAGAGCACCGGCGACGACGCAGCAACACAGCAAACGACGUCGGCGAAGCCACCGAUGCCGGAGACGGAGACGACACCGGUGAUGGAAGCAGCCACGGCAAGGGCAACCGCGACGAGAUGCGGCUAUGUAACGUCCCUUGGCCUGACCAGCGACGGCGACGGCAGCGACAUCGUCGACGAGGACAUCACCAACAACGACAAACAUAUGCAGCUAUCUUCCCUUGGCCUGGCCAGCUACUGCGACGGGGAUCGUGACGGCAUCGCCGAUGGGCGACAUCACCGGCGAUGACAACAGAUGCGGCUUCUUCAUCUCAUCAUCGACGCAUGGAUAUUCUUGUAUUGAUUUCCAUGCAUUCAUUGUAAUUGAUAUCUCACGAGCUAGUUCAAUGAAACAGUAUAAUCCAUCCAUGCAUGCCAUGGCGACCAAGAUGGAGGCAUGCGCAUUGCUAGCGUUUCCAUCAUCAACACACAUCGGCGGUCACACGAGUGGCAAUACACAGCCGCGGUUCUUGCUGAUGUCCAGAAUACACAUGCAUGCGUGCAUACCUGACAUGCAUGCCUAACAUAUUGUUUU